UGUGGAGAUAAUCAUCCUUGGGGUCCCCUCCUUCUGGCAUGUUCCCUUAGGCGUUUCCUUCCUUCUAGGCAUCCUUCCUCCUUGCGUGGUGGUGGUGGGCUGCUCCAAAAGCUUGAGAUCAAAUCUCAAGUGUAAUUCUCCUUCUUCUCUGAAGAAAGAGUUCAUCUCUCUCUCCUACAGUAUUUGGCAUGCACGCGAAGUA
rnacentral:lncRNA from 1 species